rnacentral:rRNA from 1 species
GAGUUUGAUCCUGGCUCAGAACGAACGCUGGCGGCGUGCUUAACACAUGCAAGUCGAACGCGAAAGGGACUUCGGUCCUGAGUAAGGUGGCGCACGGGUGAGUAACACGUGGAUAAUCUACCCAGUGUUCCGGGAUAACAUCUCGAAAGGGGUGCUAAUACCGGAUAAGCCCACGGGAACUUCGGUUCUUGCGGGAAAAGGUGGGGACCUUUUAGGCCUACUGUCACUGGAUGAGUCCGCGGCCCAUUAGCUAGUUGGUAGGGUAAUGGCCUACCAAGGCUACGAUGGGUAGCUGGUCUGAGAGGAUGAUCAGCCACACUGGAACUGAGACACGGUCCAGACUCCUACGGGAGGCAGCAGUGGGGAAUUUUGGACAAUGGGCGCAAGCCUGAUCCAGCCAUACCGCGUGAGUGAAGAAGGCCUUCGGGUUGUAAAGCUCUUUCAGCCGGAAAGAAAACGCACGGGUUAACACCUUGUGUGGAUGACGGUACCGGAAGAAGAAGCACCGGCUAACUACGUGCCAGCAGCCGCGGUAAUAC